rnacentral:rRNA from 1 species
UUAAUGGAGAGUUUGAUCCUGGCUCAGGACGAACGCUGGCGGCGUGCCUAAUACAUGCAAGUCGAGC